rnacentral:tRNA from 1 species
GGGAGUCAUCGCCGAAUCGGGGGCGGCGCACGUCGCCUACGUCGGCGUCGGCGGCGCGAUGCUGCCGGUGCUGAUCUUCGCGGCGGCCCGCGCC